rnacentral:rRNA from 1 species
GUGUCAGCCGCCGCGGUAAUACGUAGGGGGCAAACGUUGCUCGGAAUUACUGGGCGUAAAGGGUGUGUAGGUGGCUGAGUAAGUCAAAGAUGAAAUCCCGAGGCUCAACUUCGGAAUGGUCUUUGAUACUGUUUAGCUUGAGGAUAGUUGAAGAGAAUGGAAUUCCCGGUGGAGCGGUGAAAUGCGUAGAUAUCGGGAGGAACACCUGAGGCGAAGGCGAUUCUCUAAGCUACUCCUGACACUGAAACACGAAAGCUAGGGGAGCAAACGGGAUUAGAUACCCCGGUAGUCCUAGCCAUAAACGAUGGACACUAGAUAUUCCUGCGUUUAUGUGGGAGUGUCGAAGCUAACGCGUUAAGUGUCCCGCCUGGGGAGUACGGUCGCAAGGCUGAAACUCAAAUGAAUUGACGGGG